UACGUAGGGUGCAAGCGUUGUCCGGAAUUAUUGGGCGUAAAGAGCUCGUAGGCGGCUUGUCGCGUCGGCUGUGAAAACCCGGGGCUCAACUCCGGGCCUGCAGUCGAUACGGGCUGGCUUGAGUGCGGUAGGGGAGACUGGAGUUCCUGGUGUAGCGGUGAAAUGCGCAGAUAUCAGGAGGAACACCGGUGGCGAAGGCGGGUCUCUGGGCCGUAACUGACGCUGAGGAGCGAAAGCGUGGGGAGCGAACAGG
rnacentral:rRNA from 1 species